GGGAUACCUGCCUGUCCGUAUGACGAAGGCAUCUGCUGUCCCUGAUACAUUGGAUCUCCCGGCUGACUAGCUCUAGGUGCCCCGUAAGUUUGCGGUAAUUCCUGAGCAGGAGCACCAUAGGCUGGUCCGCCGUAAGGUUGCUGCUGAGAGUAGCCUGCCUGAGGGGCAGUAGAUUGCUGUCCAUAGACCCCUGGUGGUGCUCCCGGC
rnacentral:misc_RNA from 1 species